AUUGAACGCUGGCGGCAGGCCUAACACAUGCACGUCGAGCGAGGGGCGGCCGGGUGAGUCAUGUGUGGGGAACUGCCUGAUGGAGGGGGACAACUACUGGAAACGGUAGCUAAUCCCGCAUACCAUCAGCUAUGCCCAGAUGGGAUUCGCUUGUUGGGGGGGUAACGGCUCACCAAGGCGACGAUCCCUCGCUGGUCUGAGAGGAUGACCAGCCACACGGGAACGGAGACACGGGCCAGACUCCUACGGGAGGCAGCAGGGGGGAAUAUUGCACAAUGGGCGCAAGCCUGAUGCAGCCAUGCCGCGUGUAGGAAGAAGGCCGUCGGGUUGUAAAGUACUUUCAGCGGGGAGGCGUUACCCGCAGAAGAAGCACCGGCUAACUCCGUGCCAGCCGCCGCGGUAAUUC
rnacentral:rRNA from 1 species